UCUAAUAUGGCAGAUUAGUGCAUCGGACUUAAGCCCCGAUUAUAAAAUUAUUUUUUUUUUUAGAA
rnacentral:tRNA from 1 species